GGGCUGCUGUUUAGUGGUAGAGCAUCUGGUUUGCAUGUGGAAGUCCCCAGGUUCAAUCCCUGGCAUCUUCA